rnacentral:misc_RNA from 1 species
UCAACUUGCUUCCAAAAUUAACAUCUCCCCUUGAACUGCAAUCUCUUUCACUAGAUCCAGAUGAUCUCAAUCCAUCUCCCUCCAAAGCCUCCCUAUGAAACUUCAUUCUCUCAGCACUGGGUUCCUUUCUGCAUAUAUUUUCUCCAGGUCCGCCUUCAUCAUCAGACAAACUUUCAUCCUUUGGAGAAUCACUGUCAGAUGCCCAUCGUGACAUGGAUAUGUUCCGCGCCUCAGUAAACUCUUCCCCCUCCCCUUCAAAUUGUUCUUGGCUACCAUCCUUAUGCUUCUCUUCAGGAAUUUUAGGAAACAAAAUUGCUGGAGACUUAGGCUCAGAUCCAGUAGUAUCUACCAAUCCUCCUAUCACGCAAGGCUUAUCUGACACACAGUCCAACCCCAGGAGCUGAUUUACUGUGAAAGCAUGCUUUGCAACACCUGCAUCUAGAACAAUGUUUGGUCCCUGACAGUAAGCUCGCUGUGGAGAUGUAACAUUAGAUAAGGCAGGACUUGUUGGGAGAACUCUAUUUUUGGUUGCUACUUUGUCUUCUAUUUCCCAUAUAAUAGGGGAGAAUUUCCUUUUCUUCUCUGGUGGCAUCUGAAUCCCAUCAUCAGACUUUGGUAUCUCACCGUCCUCCAACCCUGAGGAAUGAUCAAGGCCAAUUCCACUUUGCAACUCACCCAACUCUCUCCCUUCAUCUCUGCAACUAAGUCCACUUCUUUGAAUACGAAAUUUCCGCGCAUUUGAGGAAAUAUGGUACCCAUUCUUAUAUACCACACCGUGCUCAACACCACGAUUGAACUCCACGCCAUGAGCACCGUUCCUAUAGCGAUCAAAAUAGUUAUUGGAGUAACCAUCACAACCCCUUCUUCUCGAAACAUCGACACGCCCUGCCGCCAUAUUGAUAAGAACCACAAUUUCUUCUCAAUAAAAAUUCAAGAUCAAUUGUAUAAAGCACUCAACCGAAAAUAUAUUUUUAAUUUUUUUUUAAUGCUUUCCCACCUUUUUUUUUUAAUGAUCAAUCCGAAUAAAACCCCUAGAUAUCAGCAAUAUAUCAACAAGAUAUCACAAAUUAGAUUCA